GUGAGGACUCGGGAGGUGGAGGGUGGUGCUGCCAGGGCCAGGGCACUGUCUCAGCUCACUUCUCCCCCCACCUCCUCUCUCCUCAG
ensembl:miRNA MIR1224 microRNA 1224